rnacentral:rRNA from 1 species
GACGAAGGGGGCUAGCGUUGUUCGGAAUUACUGGGCGUAAAGCGCGUGUAGGCGGUUGCCCAAGUCGGGUGUGAAAGCCUUGAGCUCAACUCAAGAAAUGCACUCGGUACUGGGUGACUAGAGGACCGGAGAGGAUAGUGGAAUUCCCAGUGUAGUGGUGAAAUUCGUAGAUAUUCGGAGGAACACCAGUGGCGAAGGCGGCUCACUGGUCCAUUACUGACGCUGAGGUGCGAAAGCGUGGGGAGCAAACAGG